rnacentral:rRNA from 1 species
GCAACGCGAAGAACCUUACCAGGUCUUGACAUCCUUUUGAAUGGUCUAGAGAUAGAUCAGGCCUUCGGGACAGAAGAGACAGGUUGGUGCAUGGUUGUCGUCAGCUCGUGUCGUGAGAUGUUGGGUUAAGUCCCGCAACGAGCGCAACCCUUAUCAUUAGUUGCUAACAUUCAGUUGAGAACUCUAAUGAGACUGCCAGUGAUAAACUGGAGGAAGGUGGGAUGACGUCAAAUCAUCAUGCCCCUUAUGACCUGGGCUACACACGUGCUACAAUGGCCGGUACAAAGAGUUGCGAAACUGUGAAGUUAAGCUAAUCUCAUAAAGCCGGUCUCAGUUCGGAUUGUAGUCUGCAACUCGACUACAUGAAGUCGGAAUCGCUAGUAAUCGCGAAUCAGAAUGUCGCGGUGAAUACGUUCUCGAGUCUU